CCCUAAAAAUUUCAUCCAUUUCUACUGUUAAAAACUAGCAUAACUGACGGAAUAACCAGACAGUUACACAUGAAAUACUACGUGUACUUCAUGCUGACAUAUAAAGACUAAUUUUUAAUAAUAAAAAUGAAUAAUUUUUUUAACA
rfam:Gossypium hirsutum cultivar TM-1 chromosome 11, whole genome shotgun sequence